rnacentral:rRNA from 1 species
UACGUAGGGUGCAAGCGUUAAUCGGAAUUACUGGGCGUAAAGCGUGCGCAGGCGGCUUGCUACGUCGUGCGUGAAACACCCCGGCUCAACUGGGGAGGGUCGUGCGAUACGGGCAGGCUGGAGGCCAGUAGGGGGAUGCGGAAUUCCGGGUGUAGUGGUGGAAUGCGUAGAGAUCCGGAGGAACACCAGCGGCGAAGGCGGCAUCCUGGACUGGUACUGACGCUCAGGAGCGAAAGCGUGGGGAGCGAUCCGG